UCCCUUGCUUUUCCUGUGAUCAAACUGUGGUACAUACAUACAAUGAAAAUAUAAUGAUACUUUUUAUAACAUGGAUGAAUCUUAAAAACAUUAUGCUGCUUGUCCCUGCUCCUUGCCUCUUAGAACAUCCUUGAUGUGCUCAGCUGAGUGUUCUGUGGGCCCAGAGUGUUUACUGUUUAAAAAAAGUAUUCAAAGCCAUUCUAAGCCCCUUGAAGAGCACAGUUAUGAAUAAGGAAAUAGGACCACCGUUUUGUUGGUCUUCAGAAUUGAAGCUAUGGUUUGAGGGAUAGCUAGGGGAUAUUUGUAUUGUGCUGCUAGAGGUGAAAUUCAUGAACAGACAGAAGAAAUAUAUUUAUCAAGAAAUUUGAGUUUCAUCCUUGAUUAAGGUAGGGACAAAGCAAUACAAAAUUAGACUGUGAUAAUGUAAUUCUCAUGACUUUUAGGACAGCUUCUGAAAAACCAAUCUUUGAGUUCUAGGGGCUGCAUGGUUGCAAAGCUUAAACUUAAGGGAAUUGAGGAAGGCAACCCCUAGAAGUGGUACUCUUCUAGUGGUAUAAUUUGACUCAACUGGGGGAUCCUUGGCCAGUCUAGACAGAAAAGAUAGAUACAUACAGUGUACUGGCCAUUCUAAGUUGGUAAAGCAAUUUAUUUGGUUAAUUCUGAUAAGGAAGGAGAUUCUGGCAUGCUAAGUAGUUACAUGACCCUGAGCAGCCAGUGUCCCCCAGCUUCUUACAGGAACAAUUUGUGUUCAGUCACUCCAGAUGGAGUAUUAACCAAUCUGUGAUAACUUUGGAUGGCCACGGAUUCCUCAGCUAUACUGACCAGCUCCAGGUAUGCCUAACAGAUGCCAGCAGGUUUGGGUAACUCAUUGAACUCCAUUCCCCUAUCUGGAACUGCAGUUAUUCCUCCUGAAGGGAGAGUUUCCAGUAAGUGCAGGUCAUAAACUUGCAUUAAGUCCCUGCCCGUCAUCCAUUCAGCCAGUCUCUUAACGACGGCACAGUGCAGUGAAACACUGGGAUUAGCCCCUCUGCAAAGGCCACGACCCUGAUGGAGCUCUGAGAAGAUGGUUGAAUUUAACUUUGUAAAAGAAGUCAAAGUCACCACAAGGCUUCCUUAAAAGAACGUGGGAGUGUCAAGA
rnacentral:ncRNA from 1 species